rnacentral:rRNA from 1 species
AGUCACUGACAUUAGAUACCCCUGUAGUCCAGGGUGUAAACGCUGCAGACUUGGUGUUGGAGGCCCUUUGGGGCAUUCAGUGCCGGAGAGAAGUUGUUAAGUCUGCUACUUGGGAGUACGUCCGCAAGGAUGAAACUUAAAGGAAUUGGCGGGGGAGCACCGCAACGGGAGGAGCGUGCGGUUUAAUUGGAUUCAACACCGUAAACUCACCAGGGAAGACUGUUACAUGAAGGCCGAGAUGAAGACUCUGCUAGAUUUUCAG